rnacentral:rRNA from 1 species
AGUGAACGCUGGCGGUAGGCCUAACACAUGCAAGUCGAACGGCAGCACAGUAAGAGCUUGCUCUUACGGGUGGCGAGUGGCGGACGGGUGAGGAAUACAUCGGAAUCUACUUUUUCGUGGGGGAUAACGUAGGGAAACUUACGCUAAUACCGCAUACGACCUACGUGGGAAAGCAGGGGAUCUUCGGACCUUGCGCGUUUGAAUGAGCCGGUGUCGGAGUAGCUAGUUGGCGGGGUAAAGGCCUACCAAGGCGCCGAUCCGUAGCGGGUCUCAGAGGAUGAUCAGCCACACGGGAACUGAGACACGGUCCAGACACCUACGGUAGGCAGCAGUGGGGAAUAUUGGACGAUGGGGGCAAGCCUGAUCCAGCCAUACCGCGUAGGUGAAGAAGGCCUUCGGGUUGUAGAGCCAUUUUGUUGGGAAAGAAGAGCAGCAGGUUAAUACGCCGCUGUUCUGACGGUACCCAAAGAAUAAGCCCCGGCUAACUUCGUG